rnacentral:rRNA from 1 species
GACAGAGGGUGCAACCGUUGUUCGGAAUUACUGGGCGUAAAGCGCGUGUAGGCGGCUGCGUAAGUCGGGCGUGAAAUCCCAUGGCUCAACCAUGGAAGUGCACCCGAAACUGCGUAGCUAGAGUCCUGGAGAGGAAGGUGGAAUACUUGGUGUAGAGGUGAAAUUCGUAGAUAUCAAGUGGAACACCGGUGGCGAAGGCGGCCUUCUGGACAGUGACUGACGCUGAGACGCGAAAGCGUGGGGAGCAAACAGG